UGUCGCCAUGACACUUCCUGUCUCUGUGUCCCUAGUAAGAGAAAGCUUUGCCAAAGCCGAACAUGUCAUAGCAGAAGCUGAAGGAUCAAAGCUGAUCUAGGGGAAACUUGGACCCAGAGAAACUGCUCUGUCAGGCUAGGGAAGUAGAAAGGAAACAGCUAGAUCCCAGUGAAGCCUGACUCACCUAAGACAGCUGAGAGUCAUUGGUAAUCAUUGGAGUUCUCAAGAAAUGAAUGCUCAGCCCAAGGGAAGAGUAAGCAUGUGAGAGAAGAAUCCUGCUCUCAGUGAGCUGGACAAGCCCAUCAGAGUUAUCUACCCUGGAAACUUCUCCUUCCUGAAAAGGUGACGUGAAAGAGGGAGCAGAUUACUGAAGUCUGUGGCUGAGACGGUCAAUUUCAAGCUGAAAAGUAGAUUCCAACUGUCUGCGCCGUUAUCGCUCUCAUCUUGCCUAUUUCCCUGUUUUGGGGUCCUGGAAAAGCUUUUGAAGUGGGACUGAAAAGAAAGAUUCAGGAUAUCUGAACAAACGCCACUUGCACGGUCUCCAGAUGUGCUGAGGCUAUUGCCCUAGCCAUUACAGUGGUUUAGAACUCCCUGUCCCAGCCAUAUCACGUGGUUGGUAUCAAAGAUGUAAAAGAGACCCAAAACACUUGCUGGAGGCCUGGAGAAAAGUGUAUUCAAAUUGCCUCGCUGGACUUCAGGUCAUAAUGUGUUUCGCAGGCUUUAUGGAGAAAUUGGCUAAAGAUGUCAGCACCUGAAUGAAAUAUUUUUUUGAAAAACAUUUAUUUUUCCUGUUGGACUGAAGAAGGAUUUUUUAAACUUUCCAUAAUAUUUGACAAAUGUUUUUUAAUGUUUUAAUAACAAGGCAAAUAAAAAGUAAUUGGUAGUUUCA